GGCCCCGUAGCUCAACUGGAUAGAGCGCGAGACUUCUAAUCUUGAGGUUGUAGGUUCAAGUCCUACCGGGGUCGCCA
rnacentral:tRNA from 1 species